UCCAAAGUAGCUCAAUGGUAGAGCAGCGCACUGUUAAUGCGCAUGUUGAAGGUUCGAGUCCUUCCUUUGGAGCCA
rnacentral:tRNA from 1 species